rnacentral:rRNA from 1 species
GAUGAACGCUGGCGGCGUGCUUAACACAUGCAAGUCGAACGGAAAGGCCAGUGCUUGCACUGGUGCUCGAGUGGCGAACGGGUGAGUAACACGUGGGUGAUCUGCCCUGCACUUUGGGAUAAGCCUGGGAAACUGGGUCUAAUACCAGAUAGGACCAUGCUUUGGAUGGUGUGGUGGAAAGUUUUUUCGGUGUGGGAUGAGCUUGCGGCCUAUCAGCUUGUUGGUGGGGUAAUGGCCUACCAAGGCGUCGACGGGUAGCCGGCCUGAGAGGGUGUACGGCCACAUUGGGACUGAGAUACGGCCCAGACUCCUACGGGAGGCAGCAGUGGGGAAGAUUGCACAAUGGGCGCAAGCCUGAUGCAGCGACGCCGCGUGGGGGAUGACGGCCUUCGGGUUGUAAACUCCUUUCGCAACUGACGAAGCUUUUUGUGACGGUAGGUUGAGAAGAAGCACCGGCUAACUACGUG